rnacentral:rRNA from 1 species
UGGGGAAUAUUGGACAAUGGGCGAAAGCCUGGUCCAGCCAUGCCGCGUGUGUGAAGAAGGUCUUCGGAUUGUAAAGCACUUUAAGUUGGGAGGAAGGGUACUUACCUAAUACGUGAGUAUUUUGACGUUACCGACAGAAUAAGCACCGGCUAACUCUGUGCCAGCAGCCGCGGUAAUACAGAGGGUGCAAGCGUUAAUCGGAAUUGCUGUGCGUAAAGCGCGCGUAGGUGGUCUGUUAAGUUGGAUGUGAAAGCCCCGGGCUCAACCUGGGAACUGCAUCCAAAACUGGCAAGCUAGAGUAUGGUAGAGGGUAGUGGAAUUUCCUGUGUAGCGGUGAAAUGCGUAGAUAUAGGAAGGAACACCAGUGGCGAAGGCGACUACCUGGACUGAUACUGACACUGAGGUGCGAAAGCGUGGGGAGCAAACA